UGACGGUUUAGAAUUUUUUCAAGCUUAUGGUAAAAUAGCAUUUGCAUGUUGAUGGAGUGAAUACCUUGUCAAAAUUGAGUGAAUUAGUGAGUGAGAGAUAAGGUGGAACUUUGAACAUCGUGUGGAAUGGUCAUUGAACCGAAGCUAAUUGAAGUCUUGAAAACCAAAGCAUUGAUUGAGCAGGAUCACGGAAGUUAAGACCGGUGGUUCUAUUGCCGGAUGAAGAGAAAAAGUUUUUGAGAUUUAUAUCAUUCAAAUUAAUUUGUUAAUUCACUGACAGUUUUGUUUCGACAGACAUAUUACUUGAGGACAAGCAACAAUUCAAGUUUGGGGUUGUGAUGACAUUCCGUCAUUUGAGUAUUUUUAAUUAUUAUUCUAUAGUAUUUUAGUUAAUUUUUAAGAGUAUUGCAUGAUCAAAGAGAAGAAUUUAUGAAGAAUUUGACAUAUAAAAGAGUUUGAAGAUAGAAGCCAAAAAGGAAAAAGACUUGGAAAACAUUCCAAAAAUUGCAAAGACUUGGAGAAAUAAGUUUUGAAGCUACUGUUUUUCUCGCGUUCCUGUACAAUUCAUUCGUGGUGCGAUUUGGAUUUUUUCAUCACAUGACAUCAUCAACGCGUCAGCAUGAUGCAAGCCAAUUUUUAAUCACAUGCCACCUAAGCGAUCCAGCUUUUAAAUACAUGAUACGAUUUAGUUUGUUGGAGGCAUAUAAAUAGAGCAACCCUUAUUAACCAAGGCACGCACGCCGAGAGAGAAGAAACACAGCAUACUAGAGAUUGAAGAAUAACGGCAUGCACAACAACUGAUCGGUGAUUCAAGUGGCUUUAUACACCAUUCAACCGCAAUUUUAUGUGUAAUUCUGAAUACUCUUUUUAUCUCUAAUCAAUAUUAUGAGUAGCUAAUUUCUUAAUUGUUAGGGAUGAGUAAAN
rnacentral:lncRNA from 1 species